rnacentral:rRNA from 1 species
GACGGAGGAUGCAAGUGUUAUCCGGAAUCACUGGGCGUAAAGCGUCUGUAGGUGGUCAAAUAAGUCAACUGUUAAAUCUUGAGGCUCAACCUCAAAAUCGCAGUCGAAACUAUUCGACUAGAGUAUAGUAGGGGUAAAGGGAAUUUCCAGUGGAGCGGUGAAAUGCGUAGAGAUUGGAAAGAACACCGAUGGCGAAGGCACUUUACUGGGCUAUUACUAACACUGAGGGACGAAAGCUAGGGUAGCAAAUGGG